ensembl:lncRNA
GCAUGUCUGGCAUAGCAGCAGAAUGAUUUCUACAACAGCUUGUGGAUUUCUCCUUUUGAUCACUGCUUGGAAUUCUCAGAUUUUCGAACUGCUGGGAUUCAAAUGGGACUAGAAAGGUAAAGAAAAGGAGAUUGGCAAGUACAAUCUGUGAGUGGGAAUUUUGGAUGAAUCGAGGAAAAGGUAAGGCUCAGUCCAGAUACUUGUGCCCCUGGUGAUUUUCAUAGUCUGUUGCUUGCACUCCACUGUUAUGUUGAUCUCCUUGGGCUGCAGCGCAUGUAAAUAUUUAGCCUUGAAAUAACUCAGUGACGCACAAAUAAUGGACCAGUGGAAUGACAGGAGAGAUUGCAUUUUAGGUGAAUCAUGGCUCAUCCAAAAAUUAUUUAUAGACUGCUCUCUCUAUUACAGGAUGUCAUCUACCUGGCAACAAGCCAGGAUGUUUGUGAAUUGACUUCUAGACUGAUUGUCUUUUCUAGAGAACAAAUGAGUUUAAAGCAU